rnacentral:rRNA from 1 species
UACGUAGGGGGCGAGCGUUGUCCGGAGUUACUGGGCGUAAAGGGCAUGCAGGCGGUGAGGCGCGUUUUGUGUGACAGCGCAUGGCUUAACUAUGCGAGGAUACGAAAGACGGCCCCACUUGAGAGCGCGAGAGGGACACGGAAUUCCGGGUGGAGUGGUGAAAUGCGUAGAGAUCCGGAGGAACACCGAAGGCGAAGGCAGUGUCCUGGCGCGUAUCUGACGCUCGUGUGCGAAAGCCAGGGGAG